rnacentral:rRNA from 1 species
GAUGAACGCUGGCGGCGUGCCUAAUACAUGCAAGUCGAGCGAACAGACGAGGAGCUUGCUCCUCUGACGUUAGCGGCGGACGGGUGAGUAACACGUGGAUAACCUACCUAUAAGACUGGGAUAACUUCGGGAAACCGGAGCUAAUACCGGAUAAUAUAUUGAACCGCAUGGUUCAAUAGUGAAAGACGGUUUUGCUGUCACUUAUAGAUGGAUCCGCGCCGCAUUAGCUAGAUGGUAAGGUAACGGCUUACCAAGGCAACGAUGCGUAGCCGGCCUGAGAGGGUGAUCGGCCACACUGGAACUGAGACACGGUCCAGACUCCUACGGGAGGCAGCAGUAGGGAAUCUUCCGCAAUGGGCGAAAGCCUGACGGAGCAACGCCGCGUGAGUGAUGAAGGUCUUCGGAUCGUAAAACUCUGUUAUUAGGGAAGAACAAAUGUGUAAGUAACUAUGCACGUCUUGACGGUACCUAAUCAGAAAGCCACGGCUAACUACGUG